UUGUCUCCAUUUACCCGGACGUUGCUAAGUAACGGAAACGAGGGGACGACCGCGCCAGCCUAGCGCUUUGGGAGUGGGAACGAGCCGCGAGCUGUGCUCCUGGGCUGCGACCAGUGUUCGUAGACAGCAGAAGCUGUUUCCGCGGGGAAAUCCUUGGCGAUGCUUCAUGCCUUCUGAACUAUGGAGACCUGACGACCAGACGGUGAUGCUCCCAAGAGAGAAUGGCCCAGAUAGGCUUGUAUCCUGGAAGGGCAUGAACCUGGGGGGAUAACCCCCAGUCCCCGCAAGCUGGAGCAACUAACCCCAAAAUGGACCAAGGGCUGAUGGGCCCUCCAGAGAAGCCGAGGCGUUUCCUUCACUGCACACCUGCUUGCUGAUGGUCCUCAGUCCUUGGCAGACGGAUGGCAUGGAACACAUCAGAGUUCAUUUUCACCUGUCAGGGUUCUCUUCAUCCAUUCAUUAUCAAUGACAAUUUGACUUUUCUGGAUCCCCUUGAUCUAGAUUGAAUUCUUCAGUUAUAUUCUCUCAGAGGACCGUCUGCUCCUCUUUCACA